AAACAAUCUGAAGGGUUCCUUCUUGAAUAUGAUCGCUUACUUGAGGAGAACCAAAACCUCCGCAACCAGCUACAAUCUGUUGACAGAAGAUUCUCACAUUCAGUUUCCAAGAAGAAUAUGUGAGAAACAUUUAAGGCGGCUUCUUCUCUUCUAUACUUUUCGGGAUUUCCAUAGCAGCUUACUAGUAACAGGUUAUCAAUCCUUGUAAACAUGCUUCUCAUGAAUAGGAGUUUUACUUCAGAGUUAAAUUUGCACCAAUACUUUUCGGGAUUUCCAUAGCAGCUUGCUAGUAACAGGUUAUCAAUCCUUGUAAACAUGCUUCUCAUGAAAUAGGAGUUUUACUUCAGAGUUAAAUUUGGACCAAUUUUGUCCUAACAAAGUGUGAAUUUUUUUUUUUU
rnacentral:lncRNA from 1 species